rnacentral:rRNA from 1 species
AUUCCGGUUGAUCCUGCCGGAGGUCAUUGCUAUUGGGGUCCGAUUUAGCCAUGCUAGUUGUGCGACUUAGAUCGCAGCGGAAAGCUCAGUAACACGUGGCCAAACUACCCUGUAGACAGGAAUACUCUCGGGAAACUGAGGCUAAUACCUGAUACGGU